rnacentral:rRNA from 1 species
GGGUUGUGAGGUUAAGCGACUAAGCGUACACGGUGGAUGCCCUGGCAGUCAGAGGCGAUGAAGGACGUGCUAAUCUGCGAUAAGCGUCGGUAAGGUGAUAUGAACCGUUAUAACCGGCGAUUUCCGAAUGGGGAAACCCAGUGUGAUUCGUCACACUAUCAUUAACUGAAUCCAUAGGUUAAUGAGGCGAACCGGGGGAACUGAAACAUCUAAGUACCCCGAGGAAAAGAAAUCAACCGAGAUUCCCCCAGUAGCGGCGAGCGAACGGGGAGGAGCCCAGAGCCUGAAUCAGUGUGUGUGUUAGUGGAAGCGUCUGGAAAGGCGCGCGAUACAGGGUGACAGCCCCGUACACAAAAAUGCACAUACUGUGAGCUCGAUGAGUAGGGCGGGACACGUGGUAUCCUGUCUGAAUAUGGGGGGACCAUCCUCCAAGGCUAAAUACUCCUGACUGACCGAUAGUGAACCAGUACCGUGAGGGAAAGGCGAAAAGAACCCCGGCGAGGGGAGUGAAAAAGAACCUGAAACCGUGUACGUACAAGCAGUGGGAGCACGCUUCGGCGUGUGACUGCGUACCUUUUGUAUAAUGGGUCAGCGACUUAUAUUCUGUAGCAAGGUUAACCGAAUAGGGGAGCCGAAGGGAAACCGAGUCUUAACUGGGCGUUAAGUUGCAGGGUAUAGACCCGAAACCCGGUGAUCUAGCCAUGGGCAGGUUGAAGGUUGGGUAACACUAACUGGAGGACCGAACCGACUAAUGUUGAAAAAUUAGCGGAUGACUUGUGGCUGGGGGUGAAAGGCCAAUCAAACCGGGAGAUAGCUGGUUCUCCCCGAAAGCUAUUUAGGUAGCGCCUCGUGAAUUCAUCUCCGGGGGUAGAGCACUGUUUCGGCAAGGGGGUCAUCCCGACUUACCAACCCGAUGCAAACUGCGAAUACCGGAGAAUGUUAUCACGGGAGACACACGGCGGGUGCUAACGUCCGUCGUGAAGAGGGAAACAACCCAGACCGCCAGCUAAGGUCCCAAAGUCAUGGUUAAGUGGGAAACGAUGUGGGAAGGCCCAGACAGCCAGGAUGUUGGCUUAGAAGCAGCCAUCAUUUAAAGAAAGCGUAAUAGCUCACUGGUCGAGUCGGCCUGCGCGGAAGAUGUAACGGGGCUAAACCAUGCACCGAAGCUGCGGCAGCGACACUAUGUGUUGUUGGGUAGGGGAGCGUUCUGUAAGCCUGCGAAGGUGGCCUGUGAGGGUUGCUGGAGGUAUCAGAAGUGCGAAUGCUGACAUAAGUAACGAUAAAGCGGGUGAAAAGCCCGCUCGCCGGAAGACCAAGGGUUCCUGUCCAACGUUAAUCGGGGCAGGGUGAGUCGACCCCUAAGGCGAGGCCGAAAGGCGUAGUCGAUGGGAAACAGGUUAAUAUUCCUGUACUUGGUGUUACUGCGAAGGGGGGACGGAGAAGGCUAUGUUGGCCGGGCGACGGUUGUCCCGGUUUAAGCGUGUAGGCUGGUUUUCCAGGCAAAUCCGGAAAAUCAAGGCUGAGGCGUGAUGACGAGGCACUACGGUGCUGAAGCAACAAAUGCCCUGCUUCCAGGAAAAGCCUCUAAGCAUCAGGUAACAUCAAAUCGUACCCCAAACCGACACAGGUGGUCAGGUAGAGAAUACCAAGGCGCUUGAGAGAACUCGGGUGAAGGAACUAGGCAAAAUGGUGCCGUAACUUCGGGAGAAGGCACGCUGAUAUGUAGGUGAAGCGACUUGCUCGUGGAGCUGAAAUCAGUCGAAGAUACCAGCUGGCUGCAACUGUUUAUUAAAAACACAGCACUGUGCAAACACGAAAGUGGACGUAUACGGUGUGACGCCUGCCCGGUGCCGGAAGGUUAAUUGAUGGGGUUAGCGGUAACGCGAAGCUCUUGAUCGAAGCCCCGGUAAACGGCGGCCGUAACUAUAACGGUCCUAAGGUAGCGAAAUUCCUUGUCGGGUAAGUUCCGACCUGCACGAAUGGCGUAAUGAUGGCCAGGCUGUCUCCACCCGAGACUCAGUGAAAUUGAACUCGCUGUGAAGAUGCAGUGUACCCGCGGCAAGACGGAAAGACCCCGUGAACCUUUACUAUAGCUUGACACUGAACAUUGAGCCUUGAUGUGUAGGAUAGGUGGGAGGCUUUGAAGUGUGGACGCCAGUCUGCAUGGAGCCGACCUUGAAAUACCACCCUUUAAUGUUUGAUGUUCUAACGUUGACCCGUUGAUCCGGGUUGCGGACAGUGUCUGGUGGGUAGUUUGACUGGGGCGGUCUCCUCCUAAAGAGUAACGGAGGAGCACGAAGGUUGGCUAAUCCUGGUCGGACAUCAGGAGGUUAGUGCAAUGGCAUAAGCCAGCUUGACUGCGAGCGUGACGGCGCGAGCAGGUGCGAAAGCAGGUCAUAGUGAUCCGGUGGUUCUGAAUGGAAGGGCCAUCGCUCAACGGAUAAAAGGUACUCCGGGGAUAACAGGCUGAUACCGCCCAAGAGUUCAUAUCGACGGCGGUGUUUGGCACCUCGAUGUCGGCUCAUCACAUCCUGGGGCUGAAGUAGGUCCCAAGGGUAUGGCUGUUCGCCAUUUAAAGUGGUACGCGAGCUGGGUUUAGAACGUCGUGAGACAGUUCGGUCCCUAUCUGCCGUGGGCGCUGGAGAACUGAGGGGGGCUGCUCCUAGUACGAGAGGACCGGAGUGGACGCAUCACUGGUGUUCGGGUUGUCAUGCCAAUGGCACUGCCCGGUAGCUAAAUGCGGAAGAGAUAAGUGCUGAAAGCAUCUAAGCACGAAACUUGCCCCGAGAUGAGUUCUCCCUGACUCCCUGAGAGUCCUGAAGGAACGUUGAAGACGACGACGUUGAUAGGCCGGGUGUGUAAGCGCAGCGAUGCGUUGAGCUAACCGGUACUAAUGAACCGUGAGGCUUAACCUUACAACGCCGAAG